rnacentral:lncRNA from 1 species
AUGGAAAUGUGCAUUUUCCAUGGUGUGGAUGGCUGGGUGAGGGCAUCCAGACACCCCCAGAGGCAGAGCAGACCCUGCUGGAAUGGGGUGAUCUCUCCUGGGAAUCUCACAGCUUUACAUCCAGGCCAGAUGCCCCAGGAUCCUGACUUUGCCCCUGCCAGAGCAGCAUUCCCUUCCCAUCCCGUGUGGCUGCAGGGAGUGCCAGCAGUGCCAGCCUGUUGUCCUACUCCAGCAGGAUUAAAUCCUCCACUGGAAUGGCAGAAAAUGUCAUCCUGGACCCCAACAACUUCAACAGGUAAAUGGCACAGUGCUCCUGCUCACCAGCACUGGGAUAUUCUUCGUGGUGAUGGAUGAAUGUUCAGGAGCAGUCAGGGAGUUUUGCCAGGCUUGGCCAUAAAGGACAAGCCACGCCAUCCUGGAUUAAAGUCUUUAAUCAUGCUGGUUAUCAGAAAGGUGCUUCUCUUCACCAUUAUGUUCCCUUGAAGCUGUAAGAAUAUCAGUGUCCUGGUAAUACUAUUGAGCCACUAAAAUUUGCUUUUUCUCAGACCUGCUUGGAGCACAUCCCUGCAAAGGCUGGGGUGCCCUGGGGCACUGCUGGGGAGCACCAGCCAGGCAGAGCCCAGCAGCACCACCACCAAAACCUGCUGUUCUUACUGGAUUGUACCAAACCCAUGUGUUCACUUGUAUCUUUUAUAACAAAUAAAUAUAUUCUCACCUUGCCCUCUGUGGUAGAG